GUAAGGAAUAUUGGUCAAUGGACGAAAGUCUGAACCAGCCAUGCCGCGUGGAGGAUGAAGGUCCUCUGGAUUGUAAACUUCUUUUAUAUGGGACGAAAAUGGGGCUUUCUAGCUCAACUGACGGUACCAUAUGAAUAAGCACCGGCUAACUCCGUGCCAGCAGCCGCGGUAAUACGGAGGGUGCAAGCGUUAUCCGGAUUCACUGGGUUUAAAGGGUGCGUAGGUGGAUUGGUAAGUCAGAGGUGAAAUCUCCGGGCUCAACUCGGAAACUGCCUUUGAUACUAUCAAUCUUGAAUAUUGUGGAGGUUAGCGGAAUAUGUCAUGUAGCGGUGAAAUGCUUAGAUAUGACAUAGAACACCAAUUGCGAAGGCAGCUCACUAAGGCGAUACUGACGCUGAGGCACGAAAGCGUGGGGAUCGAACAGGAUUAGAAACCCCAGUAGUCC
rnacentral:rRNA from 1 species